AUUGAACGCUGGCGGAAUGCUUUACACAUGCAAGUCGAACGGCAGCACGGACUUCGGUCUGGUGGCGAGUGGCGAACGGGUGAGUAAUGUAUCGGAACGUGCCCAGUCGUGGGGGAUAACGUAGUGAAAAUUACGCUAAUACCGCAUACGAUCUAUGGAUGAAAGCGGGGAUCGCAAGACCUCGCGCGAUUGGAGCGGCCGAUAUCAGAUUAGGUAGUUGGGGGGGUAAAGGCCCACCAAGCCAACGUUCUGUAGCUGGUCUGAGAGGACGACCAGCCACACUGGAACUGAGACACGGACCAGACUCCUACGGGAGGCAGCAGUGGGGAAUUCUGGAAGAUGGGCGAAAGCCUGAUCCAGCCAUUCCGCGUGCAGGAUGAAGGCCCUCGGGUUGUAAACUGCUUUUGUACAGAACGAAAAGGUUUCUGCUAAUACUAGGAGCUCAUGACGGUACUGUAAGAAUAAGCACCGGCUAACUACGUGCCAGCAGCCGCGGUAA
rnacentral:rRNA from 1 species